UACGUAGGGGGCAAGCGUUGUCCGGAUUUAUUGGGCGUAAAGAGCGUGUAGGCGGUUUGGUAGGUCCGUUGUGAAAACUCGAGGCUCAACCUCGAGACGCCGAUGGAAACCAUCAGACUAGAGUCCGGAAGAGGAGAGUGGAAUUCCUGGUGUAGCGGUGAAAUGCGCAGAUAUCAGGAGGAACACCGGUGGCGAAGGCAGGUCUCUGGGCAUUAACUGACGCUGAGGAGCGAAAGCAUGGGGAGCGAACAGG
rnacentral:rRNA from 1 species